GACGAACGCUGGCGGCGUGCUUAACACAUGCAAGUCGUACGGUAAGGCCCUUUCGGGGGUACACGAGUGGCGAACGGGUGAGUAACACGUGAGUAACCUGCCCACAACUUUGGGAUAACGCUAGGAAACUGGUGCUAAUACUGGAUAUGUGCUCCUGCUGCAUGGUGGGGGUUGGAAAGCUCCGGCGGUUGUGGAUGGACUCGCGGCCUAUCAGCUUGUUGGUGGGGGAGGGGCCUACCAAGGCGGCGACGGGUAGCCGGCCUGAGAGGGUGAACGGCCACAGUGGGACUGGGAUUAGGCCCAGACCCCUACGGGAGGGAGCAGGGGGGAAUAUUGCCACAUGGGCGCGAGCCUGAUGCAGCAACGCCGCGUGCGGGAUGACGGGCUUCGGGUUGGAAACCGCUUUCAGCAGGGACGAAGCUUUUUGUGACGGUACCUGCAGAAGAAGCACCGGCUAACUACGUG
rnacentral:rRNA from 1 species